AGUCGAACGGCAGCACGGGAGCAAUCCUGGUGGCGAGUGGCGAACGGGUGAGUAAUAUAUCGGAACGUGCCCAAUCGUGGGGGAUAACGCAGCGAAAGCUGUGCUAAUACCGCAUACGCCCUACGGGGGAAAGCGGGGGAUUCGCAAGGACCUCGCGUUAUUGGAGUGGCCUAGGCCUGAUUAGCUAGUUGGUGAGGUAAAGGCUCACCAAGGCGACGAUCAGUAGCUGGUCUGAGAGGAUGAUCAGCCACACUGGAACUGAGACACGGCCCAGACUCCUACGGGAGGCAGCAGUGGGGAAUUUUGGACAAUGGGGGAAACCCUGAUCCAGCCAUUCCGCGUGAGUGAAGAAGGCCUUCGGGUUGUAAAGCUCUUUCAGGAGGGAAGAAACGGUCUUGGAUAAUACCUGAGACUAAUGACGGUACCUUCAGAAGAAGCACCGGCUAACUACGUGCCAGCAGCCGCGGUAAU
rnacentral:rRNA from 1 species